AGCCCACGGUGGGAGGCCACUCAGAGACAACAUCUGGUGCCCAAUCCACGUGGAGAGGCCAGAGCUCUGCAGGGAGAUGGGUGAUACAGCACACUGGAUCCAGAGGCAUUCCUGACUUGAUGAUGAGGUGGUUUUUACAGCCUAGAAAAUUCCCUAUGAUCGUGUAACAUUCCGUCUCGGGGUUUUCUAGACAAUCAUCACAGCGCAUGGAGAGCUGCCCAUCCUAUUGGCUAUGAUUCUUGUCAGGAUUAUGCAGGGGCUGGAGAUCUUCGGGGCCACAGGCCUCUCAGCUUCAAUCUCCUCACUCUCUCCAGCCUCUGACAUUCUCACUCUGUGCAUCCAGUCAACGGUGAUUCUGACACAGACUCCCCAGUAUAAUCCUUAAAUCUGCUUUUGAAAUCUAGCUCUCUUAUCACUAGUAAAAGGGGGGAAAUUA